UACGGAGGGUGCAAGCGUUAAUCGGAAUUACUGGGCGUAAAGCGUACGUAGGCGGCUUGUUAAGCCAGAUGUGAAAUCCCCGGGCUCAACCUAGGAAUUGCGCUUGUGACUGGCGGGCUCGAGUACGGUAGAGGGGGGUGGAAUUCCUGGUGUAGCAGUGAAAUGCGUAGAGAUCAGGAGGAACACCGAUGGCGAAGGCAGCCCCCUGGGCCUGUACUGACGCUCAUGCACGAAAGCGUGGGGAGCAAACAGG
rnacentral:rRNA from 1 species